GUCUUUAAAAGCUAUAAGAAAUGCUAGAACUCAUUCAUUCUCAACCCUCUUCUCCAUGAAGGAUUAAAUUCCAUGGAAGAAUCUUUGCAUCAUCAGUAACUAAGAUGAGAACAUUGACAGGCUGCUGAUAGUAUUCCCAGAUGACAUCACCGACACACUAGAUGAUGAAGCAGAAUCCAGUAAUUCAGUUUAACAACUAUUUACUGGUCACCAAGGAGGAGUCAGUCCAGCUUAACUGCAGCAAGCUUUUAUGGAAGUCUUCUCCACGUUCUUCUUCUAGCAUAUCUAAGACUUAUAGUUUUGAGAAAGAGAUGAGAAGGAAAACAGCAAUACUUCAUAAAACAUCAAAAAAG
rnacentral:lncRNA from 1 species